UUAGCGAAGUCCGUGAGCCAUGCGUCAAGAAAAGCCGCUAUCGUUCAUACCGUACCCGUACCGUAAACCGACACAGGUGGAUGAGGAGAGAAUCCUAAGGCCGGCGGAAGAAGCAUUGUCAAGGAACUCGGCAAAAUGGCCCCGUAACUUAGGGAUAAGGGGUGCCUGGGAAACCAGGCCGCAGAGAAUAGGCUCAAGCAACUGUUUAGCAAAAACACAGGUCUAUGCGAAACCGAAAGGUGAGGUAUAUGGGCUGACGCCUGCCCGGUGCUGGAAGGUUAAGAGGAGAGGUUAGCGCAAGCGAAGCUUUGAAUUUAAGCCCCAGUAAACGGCGGCCGUAACAAUAACGGUCCUAAGGUAGCGAAAUACCUUGUCGGGUAAGUUCCGACCCGCACGAAAGGCGUAAUGAUUUGAGCGCUGUCUCGACAAUGCAUCCGGUGAAAUUGAAGUACCAGUGAAGAUGCUGGUUACCUGCGCCAGGACGGAAAGACCCCAUGGAGCUUUACUCCAGUCUGGUACUGGGACUCGGUAUUGCAUGUACAGGAUAGGUGGGAGGCUAGGAGAUGGUAACGCCAGUUGCCAUGGAGCCGCUGUUGGGAUACCACCCUUGCAGUAUUGGGUUUCUAACCAGCCGCCGUGACCCGGCGGUGGGACAAUGCCAGACGGGGAGUUUGACUGGGGCGGUCGCCUCCGAAAGGGUAUCGGAGGCGCCCAAAGGUUCCCUCAGAAUGGACGGAAACCAUUCGAAGAGUGCAAAGGCAGAAGGGAGCUUGACUGCGACACCGACGGGUGGAGCAGGUACGAAAGUAGGGCUUAUUGAUCCGGUGGUAUUAAGUGGGAAUGCCAUCGUUCAACGGAUAAAAGCUACCCUGGGAUAACAGGCUUAUCACUCCCAAGAGUUCACAUCGACGGAGUGGUUUGGCACCUGAUGUCGGCUCAUAGCAUCCUGGGGCUGUAGUAGGUCCCAAGGGUUGGGCUGUUCGCCCAUUAAAGCGGUACGCGAGCUGGGUUCAGAACGUCGUGAGACAGUUCGGUCCCUAUCCGGCGUGGGCGUAGGAUAUCUGAGAGGAGCUGUCCUUAGUACGAGAGGACCGGGAUGGACGGGCCGCUGGUGCAUCGGUUAGACUGCCAAGUCUACGGCCGAGUAGCCAAGCCCGGAAGGGAUAAACGCUGAAGGCAUCUAAGCGUGAAGCCCCCCUUAAGAUGAGAUAUCCCAUUCGAAAGAAGUAAACCCCCUUGAAGACGACGAGGUAGAUAGGGCAGAGGUGGAAGUGCAGCAAUGCAUGGAGCUGACUGUUACUAAUCGGGUGAGGGCUUGACC
rnacentral:rRNA from 1 species